CAUAUACUCCCUCUGUCCUAAAAUUCUUGUCUUAGGUUUAUUUAAAAAUAGUUGUAUCUAAAUACUAAAACAUGACUAGAUACAUUCGGCCUCUAGUUGUAUCUAGAUACUAAAAUAUGUAGAGAAAUGUAAGACAAGAAUUUUGUAACGGAGGGAGCAUCUA
rfam:Hordeum vulgare subsp. vulgare, WGS project CAJW01000000 data, contig: morex_contig_7842